AAAAUUAUAUUGAUCACCUUAUAUCUCCUCCUUUAUCAAAAUCAAUAAUUAUUCAGUGAAACAACAACAAGAGAGGCCAUUAGUCCAUUAUAGUUUGACCUGAAAGUGAGGAAAUGAGUGACACCUGGUAAUUUUUGUAGAGCACGAGACAAAUACCUCAAGGGCAAGCGGAUGGUGACGGUCCUCCACGAAGUGGUACCAGAAACGUGAUGUCUCUCCAAAUGAAGGAGUAUGCUAUGGCGAUGUGUCUUUACGGCUAAAUGUCUCCCGGUUGACGUGUUAUUCGGCAGGAUUAUCAAAGUGGACUUUAGAGCAGUAUUGCCACUCAUCAAAAUUAUUUCCUUUUCUUCCAAAAUUAAAAAUAAAUCCUGCUAUAACCGACCAAAA